GCAGCCUGGCUCCCAUAGCUCAGGGAAUUGUGACACUCCCAUUGGGCAGUUCCCAUUGGCCCAGAUCCACUACUCUGUCAAAGGUUGCACCACCCAGACAAAAACAGGACACAGCAGUGUGUCAAUGAGCCGUGCUUUCUCCUGCCUUCCACGUCAUAAAAGGUACCUAAGGUUGUUGAAACACAGUCCAUGUCUCCUGGGAAUGACAGGAAUUUGAGGGAUGCUGACUUUCAAGGAAUACUGCAUGACAGGCAUCAAGCUAAACCUGAUAAAGAAAACACAGGCCAGAAUCUGGGAAUCAGGAGCAAAGUGACUCAGCUUUGGGGACAGGCACGUAAUGAGGUCAUGAGGUAGGAGACUCCCUGCAGGACCGGCAGCCCUUGCUCCCUGGGCUGUUCUGGUUCUUUCAGAACCUGACCCUGGAACAGGACUGAGCAGGUGCCUGUGUGCGCAGAAGCCCUUGUGUGAGAGUCCUAUGGUACCACGUUUGCCGCACGAAUGUUUGAGAUGCCUCACAGUGGCUUGGUUCAGCCUCUCCCUCCUCUUUCUGCUGGGGCACAUCAUCUCUCCUCACUGGAAGAAAUUACGAGGAUUGUAUAAACAAUGACAAGUAAUCUACAAACAAUGAA